CUGAGGCGUGAUGACGAGGCACUACGGUGCUGAAGCAACAAAUGCCCUGCUUCCAGGAAAAGCCUCUAAGCAUCAGGUAACAUCAAAUCGUACCCCAAACCGACACAGGUGGUCAGGUAGAGAAUACCAAGGCGCUUGAGAGAACUCGGGUGAAGGAACUAGGCAAAAUGGUGCCGUAACUUCGGGAGAAGGCACGCUGACACGUAGGUGAAGUGAUUUACUCAUGGAGCUGAAGUCAGUCGAAGAUACCAGCUGGCUGCAACUGUUUAUUAAAAACACAGCACUGUGCAAACACGAAAGUGGACGUAUACGGUGUGACGCCUGCCCGGUGCCGGAAGGUUAAUUGAUGGGGUCAGCGCAAGCGAAGCUCCUGAUCGAAGCCCCGGUAAACGGCGGCCGUAACUAUAACGGUCCUAAGGUAGCGAAAUUCCUUGUCGGGUAAGUUCCGACCUGCACGAAUGGCGUAAUGAUGGCCAGGCUGUCUCCACCCGAGACUCAGUGAAAUUGAACUCGCUGUGAAGAUGCAGUGUACCCGCGGCAAGACGGAAAGACCCCGUGAACCUUUACUAUAGCUUGACACUGAACAUUGAGCCUUGAUGUGUAGGAUAGGUGGGAGGCUUUGAAGUGUGGACGCCAGUCUGCAUGGAGCCGACCUUGAAAUACCACCCUUUAAUGUUUGAUGUUCUAACGUGGACCCGUGAUCCGGGUUGCGGACAGUGUCUGGUGGGUAGUUUGACUGGGGCGGUCUCCUCCUAAAGAGUAACGGAGGAGCACGAAGGUUGGCUAAUCCUGGUCGGACAUCAGGAGGUUAGUGCAAUGGCAUAAGCCAGCUUGACUGCGAGCGUGACGGCGCGAGCAGGUGCGAAAGCAGGUCAUAGUGAUCCGGUGGUUCUGAAUGGAAGGGCCAUCGCUCAACGGAUAAAAGGUACUCCGGGGAUAACAGGCUGAUACCGCCCAAGAGUUCAUAUCGACGGCGGUGUUUGGCACCUCGAUGUCGGCUCAUCACAUCCUGGGGCUGAAGUAGGUCCCAAGGGUAUGGCUGUUCGCCAUUUAAAGUGGUACGCGAGCUGGGUUUAGAACGUCGUGAGACAGUUCGGUCCCUAUCUGCCGUGGGCGCUGGAGAACUGAGGGGGGCUGCUCCUAGUACGAGAGGACCGGAGUGGACGCAUCACUGGUGUUCGGGUUGUCAUGCCAAUGGCACUGCCCGGUAGCUAAAUGCGGAAGAGAUAAGUGCUGAAAGCAUCUAAGCACGAAACUUGCCCCGAGAUGAGUUCUCCCUGAGACUUAGAGUCUCCUGAAGGAACGUUGAAGACGACGACGUUGAUAGGCCGGGUGUGUAAGCGCAGCGAUGCGUUGAGCUAACCGGUACUAAUGAACCGUGAGGCUUAACCUUACAACGCCGAAG
rnacentral:rRNA from 1 species